CCCAGGUCAGCCGGGGCUACCCGCUGAAUUUAAGCAUAUCAAUAAGCGGAGGAAAAGAAAYUUACAAGGAUUCCCCUAGUAACGGCGAGCGAACCGGGAAUAGCCCAGCUUUAAAAUCGGGCGGCUUUGCUGUCCGAAUUGUAGUCUGGAGAAGCGUCCUCUGCGGCGGACCGGGCUCAAG
rnacentral:rRNA from 1 species